rnacentral:tRNA from 1 species
GGGCCGGUAGCUCAGCUGGUAGAGCAGCGGACUUUUAAUCCGUUGGUCGCGGGUUCGAAUCCCGCCCGGCCCA